rnacentral:rRNA from 1 species
GACGAACGCUGGCGGCGUGCUUAACACAUGCAAGUCGAGCGGUAAGGCCCUUUCGGGGGUACGACGAGCGGCGAACGGGUGAGUAACACGUGGGUGACCUGCCCUCAGCUCUGGGAUAAGCCUGGGAAACCGGGUCUAAUACCGGAUAUGACUCCAUGACGCAUGUUGUGGGGUGGGAAAGCCUUGUGCGGCUGAGGAUGGGCCCGCGGCCUAUCAGCUUGUUGGUGGGGUGAGGCCUACCAAGGCGACGACGGGUAGCCGGCCUGAGGAGGCGACCGGCCACACUGGGACUGAGACACGGCCCAGACUCCGUACGGGAGGCAGCAGUGGGGAAUCUUGCGCAAUGGGCGAAAGCCUGACGCAGCGACGCCGCGUGAGGG